CCAGCCUUAAUUGCUAGUAGUGUGAAGUUGUGCAAUUUUUUCUUUCUUUUCAAUCAGCCUUCAUUAUUGGAGCUUCUUUUGCCACAUAAAGUUACCUAGAAGAUGUCAUAAAUUACAUAAACCAACCACCCUGCUCAAAUUGAGGAGAUUGUUAAGUCCCAACAAUAAGGGAAUUGCAAACCAUUCAGGCAGCAUAUAGACUAGAUGGAAGUUACUACCUGAAAUGGUCCCAACUUGUUUGGACUGCACUAAAAGGAAAAAGAAAAUCAAUUAACUCACAAGCACUGGACCAAAACCAAGAGAUCCUUGGUUUGAAGCAUGGGAAGAAGAAGACUCCAUGAUUAUGACCUUGUUAUGGAACUUCAUGAUACCUGAGAUUUGUGACACGUGCAUGUUCUUGAUUACUUGGAAGGACAUUUUGGAACUAACUUCAUCAACCCUAUUCAAAGGCUAGAUAUGUUGCCAAGUAUAUGAGGUUAAAAUAAAGACAAAAGCUGCAAAACAAGGUAAUAGAACUGUUAUAGAAUAUGUCAAUUAGCUGAAAGCUCUAUAACAAGAACUUGACCAACAAGGUGUUAAAAACUAAAUAUUUUGAAUAUGUUGCUAUCCUCAAGGAAUUCAUUGAACAAGACAGCUAUGAUUUUCUGCAUGAAUUCAUUCCUGAGUUUGACCAAGUAUCCAGACACUUGUAAACCUGAGGUUCCAUUUUUUAAUGAGGUGGUAGCUUUAAUUCAUAGUAAAGAAAGUAGAAGAGGCCUGAUGCUUGAGACCUGUAAUAUUGAUAGCUCUUCUAUAAUAAUUAUCAACAAAAAUAAUGCCACUAACAGAGCACUAACCUUAGACCAUGAGAAAUCUGGUGAAGCAAUAAUUCAUAAUUGUGACAGCCAAUACUGUACCUAUUGCAAGAAAGCACACCACAUCGGGAACUAUCUUAGAAGUUGAAUAAAAAAUCUCCAAGUCAGGAGACAGAAGGGAGAACAACAAAGAAACAAAACACAGCCAGAGGAUGCAAAAGCACAGUAACAGGAGUAUUGAAUGGUGAAGAAAUUGAGAGGGUGAGAUCCCUUAUCAGCAGUCUAAACAAGCCUACAGGUUUUGUUCACUGGUGAGAAGAUUGGUGUUGGAAUGGGUAAGACAAGGAAGGACGCUCAACAGCAAGCAGCCGAGAAUGCCCUUCAAUACUUGGCAGAAAAAUAUGUAGAAUACAUAGCACCCCUUUCUGGAGCUGCAGAUAAAGAUUUCAAUAAGCUGUCUCAUAGAAAUGAAAAUGGAUUUCUGUGGGAACCUGUCAACUCUGGAUCAAAUGAAGGGCUAAGAGAAGAUGGAUCAGCAAAAGAAGGCACUCAUGAGGUGGGAAUUUCUAAUGAUGCUCUCAGUACUUGAUUUGAUUUCUUUGGUCAAACAUAGGUGAUGCUUGGAUAAAGGGUAUGUGGGCAAGAUAUUCUGGAGGAGAUGUAGUGUUAUCUGGAGAGAAACCACUCCUCUUUGGAUUUUGCAUUGCACCAAGGUGUGAGAGCUAAAUCAUUGAAAGGGGAAUGAGCUUGGCUUCAUGUCUGCUACUGCUGUGCCUUAACCAGGCUACAUUUAUUUCUAUCAUGAAAGCUGGAGUAGAAAUUCGGAGUAUGUCCAGCAGCUUGGUGAAUCAGCAAGGACAGAAGCAUCAAAAUUCCCCAAGGUUCUAGAUUGACACAAUUUAUUACAAGCAAGUGGUGAAAAAAGGAAGAACUGUCACACGGGACAAAGUCCAUCAUCCUCACAGCAAUAGAAGAAUGGGCAUCCUGUUUCAUGAAAUACUACUGAAUCUUAAAUGGCGAAUCUUUAGUAAAUGUCUUGGACCCAAAUUUGGUGUCUCGUUGAGGCAGAGAUUCUUGUCUCUCCUGGCAACUUGGAGGUAGAGAAAGUGCUGUGCUUCAGAUGCUGCUCCGAAAGAUGGGCCAAAACUCCCCUUCCCCUGCCUACUUUUAGUUGAUGUAUAAUAACAUGUAAUUGCUACCUUACCAACUUCACCAAUUAAAUUGUCUCAGUUUCUGGGAAUCAGUAUUUGGACUUGCUGCAUUUCUUAGUUUCAAGCAGAUGAGGAAUCUAGUACACCAAGAGUACAUUGGUACACCUUUGUGUCACCACAAGAGUAAAUUGACAGAAUGUUGGUGCUCUUGUGAGGACGUAGACAAUAAUACGUUUGUUCAGGUAGGUCUAGUAGUUUAGGAAACUAGGCCUGGGAGGCAGGGGAUUGUUUUUUCCUUUAAACCCAGAAUGCUGACUGUGCUUGUAGAUCUCUAUCAUGAAGUAGGUUUUGGCAUUUGAUCGGAAACUUUUAUGGUGAAACAAACCUUUGUGUGGUUUUGGA